rnacentral:lncRNA from 1 species
CUUGAUCCCUGGGAGAAAACAAGGACUCGGAGCUCCGGGGAGCAUCUGUACAGAAUAAAGACUCACUCCAUCCCGAUGAGCUCCGCCCUCCUGCCCACCUGCCUGCUGGGAAGGGGGCCACUCACUUAUCCAGCUUGUGGAUCUGCUCCUCAUUGUAGCUGAGCCCUGAAGGAAACAGAUGGGGAUGGCGUCACCACUCAACUAGUCCGGGAACCAAGUUAAAAAAGAUGAACACAGCCUAGGGUGGGGACCAUUUUAUGGGAUCUCAGGCCUAGGGGAGCCCGCGGGGAUGAGGAAAUGGAACAUCAAGUAACUAUGACAACAUUGCUGUUGUGGACAAAAGACUGAAUAUGAUUUUGGUAAAAAGGAGCUGAGGAGAAAUGCUAUGGGGCUCCAGAGCGAAGUGAACCUGCUGGGUGGGCGGGUGUGUGUACAGGAGAUGUUGCAGGUGGUAACUCUGGGUGAGACAGUCCUCAAGGAUGUUAGCGAAGCUUUGGCCCUGCAUCCUCCACCCUCCCCAGCUGGCAGCUGGUUGACUCCAUCCCUGGAGUCUCUCACAGGUAGGCCACCACCUUCUAACUGUCCCUCUUUGCCCAGCAGCUCUUUUCAGAAGGAACGACUUUGGGUAGAAGUGCUCUUGCCUAGAUCGAGGCUACUGCCAAAGACCAUAAUGCUCUUGCAAUGA